rnacentral:rRNA from 1 species
UACGUAGGCAGCGAGCGUUGUUCGGAAUUACUGGGCGUAAAGAGUGUGUAGGCGGUGCUCUAAGUUCGGUGUGAAAUCUCCUGGCUCAACUGGGAGGGUGCGCCGGAAACUGGAAGUGCUUGAGCGUGGGAGAGGAAAGCGGAAUUCCUGGUGUAGCGGUGAAAUGCGUAGAUAUCAGGAGGAACACCUGUGGUGUAGACGGCUUUCUGGACCAUAGCUGACGCUGAGACACGAAAGCCGUGGGUAGCAAACAGG